rnacentral:rRNA from 1 species
CUACCAGGGUAUCUAAUCCUGUUUGCUCCCCACGCUUUCGUACCUCAGCGUCAAUACCGGUCCAGUGAGCCGCCUUCGCCACUGGUGUUCUUCCGAAUAUCUACGAAUUUCACCUCUACACUCGGAAUUCCACUCACCUCUCCCGGAUUCAAGCGAUGCAGUCUUAAAGGCAGUUCUGGAGUUGAGCUCCAGGCUUUCACCUCUAACUUACAAAGCCGCCUACGUACGCUUUACGCCCAGUAAUUCCGAACAACGCUAGCUCCCUCCGUAUUACCGCGGCGGCUGGCAC